rnacentral:rRNA from 1 species
UAGUAGCCGCGGGAAAACGGAGGGGGCUAGCGUUGUUCGGAAUUACUGGGCGUAAAGCGCACGUAGGCGGCUUGGUAAGUUAGAGGUGAAAGCCUGGAGCUCAACUCCAGAAUUGCCUUUAAGACUGCCGAGCUAGCAGGUGAGAGAGGUAAGUGGAAUUCCGAGUGUAGAGGUGAAAUUCGUAGAUAUUCGGAAGAACACCAGUGGCGAAGGCGGCUUACUGGCUCAUACUGGACGCUGAGGUGCGAAAGCGUGGGGAGCAAACAGGAUUAGAUACCCCUGUAGUCCCUGUCUCUUAUAC